AGAUCAGCCCUGGGGUUCAGAGGGAUCCUGACAGCUACUCCUCAAGAUCCUCUCUGUUGUGAUUCAUCCCCCCGGGGCCCUACAGUUUCUCCUUCCUGACUCUUACAUUUCUUUGGAUGGCAUCAUUAUUUACCUGUCUCCUCCCAUAGUUAGGUGCCAAGCACUGUGGAUUCUGCCUCUCAGUGUCCAGACACCCAUUUUCCUUCCCACUGUUCCUUCCCCAUGGAGAAGCCUGUGGCUGGCUGACAGCAGAGAGAGAUGCUCAACUUGGAGAAGGUGUUACCUGGGCCAGGUGGGGAAGGUUUGUUUGCAGAGCAAAGAAGUGAAGGAAGUAUUAACCCUUUGCAUGGCCUCCUGAGAAUCCGACAAGACAUCCUCAUGUGACAGGUGACCUGCCAUAUAAUCAGAAGGAAGAAAUGUUACACAGAGAGGCUGAGAAGAAUCUGAGGACUUGCUAAGUUUUCCCCAGUUUAUUACCAUUAGAUCAUAUGCCUUUUUUGUUCAAUCAUACUUCUAUACAACUGUCCAUCAUUCAUUAAACCUAACCACAAAA
ensembl:lncRNA MYO3B-AS1 MYO3B antisense RNA 1